rnacentral:rRNA from 1 species
GGUUAAGCGAAUAAGCGUACACGGUGGAUGCCUAGGCAGUCAGAGGCGAUGAAGGACGUGCUAAUCUGCGAUAAGCGCCGGUAAGGUGAUAUGAACCGUUAUAACCGGCGAUUUCCGAAUGGGGAAACCCAGUGCAAUUCGUUGCACUAUCAUUACCUGAAUACAUAGGGUAAUGAAGCGAACCGGGAGAACUGAAACAUCUAAGUACCCCGAGGAAAAGAAAUCAAACGAGAUUCCCCCAGUAGCGGCGAGCGAACGGGGAGCAGCCCAGGACCUUAAUCAGCAUCAGUGUUAAGAGAACAGUCUGGAAAGGCUGGCCACAGCAGGUGAUAGCCCUGUAUCUGAAAGCACUGGUGUUGUGAGUCCGAUGAGUAAGGCGGGACACGUGUUAUCCUGUCUGAAUACGGGGGGACCAUCCUCCAAGGCUAAAUACUCCUGACUGACCGAUAGUGAACCAGUACCGUGAGGGAAAGGCGAAAAGAACCCCGGCGAGGGGAGUGAAAAAGAACCUGAAACCGUGUACGUACAAGCAGUGGGAGCACCUUUAUGGUGUGACUGCGUACCUUUUGUAUAAUGGGUCAGCGACUUAUAUUCUGUAGCAAGGUUAACCGGAUAGGGGAGCCGCAGGGAAACCGAGUCUUAACUGGGCGAAUUAGUUGCAGGGUAUAGACCCGAAACCCGGUGAUCUAGCCAUGGGCAGGUUGAAGGUUGGGUAACACUAACUGGAGGACCGAACCGACUAAUGUUGAAAAAUUAGCGGAUGACUUGUGGCUGGGGGUGAAAGGCCAAUCAAACCGGGAGAUAGCUGGUUCUCCCCGAAAGCUAUUUAGGUAGCGCCUCGUGAACUCAUCUCCGGGGGUAGAGCACUGUUUCGGCUAGGGGGUCAUCCCGACUUACCAACCCGAUGCAAACUGCGAAUACCGGAGAAUGUUAUCACGGGAGACACACGGCGGGUGCUAACGUUCGUCGUGAAGAGGGAAACAACCCAGACCGCCGGCUAAGGUCCCAAAGUCAUAAUUAAGUGGGAAACGAAGUGGGAAGGCUCAGACAGCCAGGAUGUUGGCUUAGAAGCAGCCAUCAUUUAAAGAAAGCGUAAUAGCUCACUGGUCGAGUCGGCCUGCGCGGAAGAUGUAACGGGGCUAAAUUAUGCACCGAAGCCGCGGCAGCGAUAUGUAAAUAUUGUUGGGUAGGGGAGCGUUCUGUAAGCCUGUGAAGGUGACCUGUGAGGGUUGCUGGAGGUAUCAGAAGUGCGAAUGCUGACAUAAGUAACGAUAAUGCGGGUGAAAAACCCGCACGCCGGAAGACCAAGGGUUCCUGUCCAACGUUAAUCGGGGCAGGGUGAGUCGACCCCUAAGGCGAGGCUGAAAAGCGUAGUCGAUGGGCAACGGGUUAAUAUUCCCGUACUGGUGGUAACUGCGAAGGGGGGACGGAGAAAGCUAAAUCAUCCGGGCGACGGUUGUCCCGGUUUAAGCGUGCAGGUGGACUGACCAGGCAAAUCCGGUCGGUUGUUAACACUGAGGCGUGACGACGAGCCACUACGGUGGUGAAGUGAUUGAUGCUCUGCUUCCGGGAAAAGCCUCUAAGCUCCAGGUUACCAUUAAUCGUACCCCAAACCGACACAGGUGGUCAGGUAGAGAAUACUCAGGCGCUUGAGAGAACUCGGGUGAAGGAACUAGGCAAAAUGGUGCCGUAACUUCGGGAGAAGGCACGCUGGCA